CGAGUUGGCCGGGCGGCCGCGGCACAGGGAACCGUUCACGGAUGUGGGCAGGCCAGGUGCCGAGGAAAGUCCGGACUCCACAGAGCAGGGCGGUUGCCAACGGCAACCCGAGGUGACUCGCGGGAACAGUGCCACAGAGAACAGACCGCCGGCCGUCAGGCCGGUAAGGGUGAAACGGUGCGGUAAGAGCGCACCAGCACCCCGGGUGACCGGGGUGGCUCGGUAAACCCCGCCCGGAGCAAGGUCAAAGGCCGCACCUUCUCGAAGGUGCGGCUGCGCAGGUGUCCGAGGGCUGCUCGCCCGAGCCUGCGGGUGGACCGCUCGAGGUACCCGGCGACGGUGUGCCCAGAUGGAUGGUCGCCGCCCGGCGUUUCGGCGCCGGGAACAGGAUCCGGCUUACAGGCCAACUCGUCCG
rnacentral:RNase_P_RNA from 1 species